rnacentral:sRNA from 1 species
UUUCAGGCCAUGCAGUCUCUGUUGCAGCUACUCAACUCUGCCUAAAAUGAAAACAGUCAUAGACAAUAAUUGAAAGAAAGAGCAUCAUGGCUGUGUUUCAAUAAAACUCUAGUUUGCAAAAACAGGCAUCUUUCUGGAUUUGGCCUGCAGGCUGUAGUUUGCCAAUCCCUGGAUUAAGGCCUGGUUUCCAAACACUGAUCACUGAACAGAACUGGUCAGUAACUUUUAACAAUUCAUAGGGAAAUAAGAAAAUUAGAAGCAAGGUAGUGAGUUUUAUAUAAAACUAAAUUUAUUCUCUUUAAUUGGUCAUCCUGACUUUCAGUAUUCUUUGCUGGUCUUUUGCUGCAAAAUACCUUUUUCUUUAUGAAACGAAGGUAUAGUAGGCAGCAGUUUGCAGGUUUGCCUUUGCUUAUUAAUAGCUCUACUGACAACUCAGUCUGCAGAUUUCCUUUUGGAAAUGUUAUAAGCCUAGGAAAUUUAAGCACCUGGGAACUACCAGCGCAGGAGGACACAAAGUGUGAACUGCAGCCUCUCACUCUCAUGUUCUGUCUCUCUUCUUCCCUACCUCCCGGGCCUGCUGACAGCGGUGGUUGGGGCUGGGAUUGGGGGCUCUGCUGUGGCCCAUUUUCUCCAGCAGCACUUUGGACCUCGGGUGCAGAUCGACGUGUACGAGAAGGGAACCAUGGGUGGCCGCUUGGCCACCAUCUCAGUCAACAAGCAGCACUACGAGAGCGGGGCUGCCUCCUUCCACUCCCUGAGCCUGCACAUGCAGGACUUCGUCAAGCUGCUGGGUGAGUGGUCAGUCCUGGGGCUCCAGUGCCCAGCGCCCUGGGGCUAGUGACAGCACUGGGCCCUUCUCAGACUUCCCAGACCAUCAAGGCCAGAAGGUCAUGUGGCCCAAUCUCAUUUUACAGAUGGAGCAACAGAGACAAGAGAGGGGAAGGAACUUGCCUGAGGUUACACAGUGAGUUAGUUGCAGAGCCGGGAUUAGAACUCAGGUUUGACUCCUAGGCCAGUUUCUUUCCUUUUCAAUUUGCUGCCUCUAAAUAAUCGUGAUUAUAUCACCUUCCACAUGCUGGUGCUUGCCAGGCACCUUCUGGGUGGUAUGUAGGCAUUACCUCAGCUCCCCUCUACCAACCUGCAAGAUGAGUGUUAUAUCUCCUCUUAAGGCAACUGAGGCUCAGAAAAUGUAUAGAUUUAAGCUAAAGCCAUUACAGCGAGAGGUGGGAUUCAAACCCAGCAGCAUCUGUCCAAUACACGUUCUGUUUGAUGCAGAAACUCUGCUUCUCAGAAGUGAUGCUACAGGUGGUCUUACAGAUGUGCAAAGUAGCAUAGAUACCAAGUUAUUCAUUACAGCAUUGUUUGUAAUAGCAAAAGGCUGAAAGUAUCCUAGCUGCCUAUCCACUAGGACCUGGGGUUAAACAAAUUAUUGUAUAACUACACAAUAGGCUGUUCAGCAGUCAGAAUGGGGAAGUCUUUAUGCCCAGAUACAGGGCAAUCUCCAAGAUACAGUGUAUUGUUAAAGUGGAGAGCAGUGUGUGUAGUAUGUGGGGGUGGGGAAGGAACAAGUCAUAGCAGCUCUGUCUGUGUUUAGGAGUCCACUGCUCUGUCAAGUUGCAGAGUGCAGGAUGGCUGUAAGGAGCUAGGAUAACUUCCAAGUGAUCUCAGUGCCCAAGGCCACCAUCUCCAAACAAGCCCAGUGGCUGUCACCCCCUGGACAUUCUGGGAUAAAAUCUGAAUUUCCCUCACUUGUGGAUCCUCCUGGGGAAAAAAAAUGUAAAAUGUUACAUUAUUUUCAUUUUCAUUUUUUUAUUGACUAGGUAGUCCACACAUUUUCCCAGUGCAUCUGUUUACUGUUUAUUAACAAGCAGCACAAAUGAACAAACCAUAGCAUUUGUGUUUCCUUUAAUGGACCAGUCCAUUUGCAUCAAGAGGGCCCCAAGUCUUGGAGGGGACCUGAGGGGCUCCUCUUUGUCUCUGCAGGGCUGAGGCACCGGCGCGAGGUGGUGGGCAGGAGCGCCAUCUUCGGCGGGGAGCACUUCGUGCUGGAGGAGACUGACUGGUACCUGCUGAACCUCUUCCGCCUCUGGUGGCACUAUGGCAUCAGCUUCCUGAGGCUGCAGAUGUGGGUGGAGGAGGUCAUGGAGAAGUUCAUGAGGAUCUAUAAGUACCAGGCCCACGGCUAUGCCUUCUCGGGUGUGGAGGAGCUGCUCUACUCACUGGGGGAGUCCACCUUUGUUAACAUGACCCAGCACUCUGUGGCUGAGUCCCUGCUGCAGGUGGGCGUCACGCAGCGCUUUAUUGAUGAUGUCGUUUCUGCUGUCCUGCGGGCCAGCUAUGGCCAGUCAGCAGCGAUGCCCGCCUUUGCAGGAGCCAUGUCACUAGCCGGGGCCCAAGGCAGCCUGUGGUCUGUGGAAGGAGGCAAUAAGCUGGUUUGUUCCGGUUUGCUGAAGCUCACCAAGGCCAAUGUGAUCCAUGCCACAGUGACCUCUGUGACCCUGCACAGCACAGAGGGGAAAGCCCUGUACCAGGUGGCGUAUGAGAAUGAGGUAGGCAACAGCUCUGACUUCUAUGACAUCGUGGUCAUCGCCACCCCCCUGCACCUGGACAACAGCAGCAGCAACUUAACCUUUGCAGGCUUCCACCCGCCCAUUGAUGACGUGCAGGGCUCUUUCCAGCCCACCGUCGUCUCCUUGGUCCACGGCUACCUCAACUCGUCCUACUUCGGUUUCCCAGACCCUAAGCUUUUCCCCUUUGCCAACAUCCUUACCACAGAUUUCCCCAGCUUCUUCUGCACUCUGGACAACAUCUGCCCUGUCAACAUCUCUGCCAGCUUCCGGCGAAAGCAGCCCCAGGAGGCAGCUGUUUGGCGAGUCCAGUCCCCCAAGCCCCUCUUUCGGACCCAGCUAAAGACCCUGUUCCGUUCCUAUUACUCAGUGCAGACGGCUGAGUGGCAGGCCCAUCCCCUCUAUGGCUCCCGCCCCACGCUCCCGAGGUUUGCACUCCAUGACCAGCUCUUCUACCUCAAUGCCCUGGAGUGGGCGGCCAGCUCCGUGGAGGUGAUGGCCGUGGCUGCCAAGAAUGUGGCCUUGCUGGCUUACAACCGCUGGUACCAGGACCUAGACAAGAUUGAUCAAAAAGAUUUGAUGCACAAGGUCAAGACUGAACUGUGAGGACUCUAGGGAGAGCCUGGGAACUUUCAUCCCCCACUGAAGAUGGAUCAUCCCACAGCAGCCCAGGACUGAAUAAGCCAUGCUCGCCCACCAGGCUUCUUUCUGACCCCUCAUGUAUCAAGCAUCUCCAGGUGACCUACUGUCUGCCUAUAUUAAGGGUCCACAUGGCGGCGGCUGCUUUUUUUUAAGGGGGAAAGUAAGAAAAGAGAAGGAAAUCCAAGCCAGUAUAUUUGUUUUAUUUAUUUUUUUUAAGAAGAAAAAAGUUCAUCUUCACAAGGUGCUUCAGACUUGGUUUCUUAGCUAGAAACCAGAAGACUAAGGGAGGGAAUAUAAGGCAGAGAACUAUGAGUCUUAUUUUAUUACUGUUUUUCACUACCUACUCCCACAAUGGACAAUCAAUUGAGGCAACCUACAAGAAAACAUUUACAACCAGAUGGUUACAAAUAAAGUAGAAGGGAAGAUCAGAAAACCUAAGAAAUGAUCAUAGCUCCUGGUUACUGUGGACUUGAUAGAUUUGAGGUACCUAGUUCAGAACUCCCUAGUCACCAUCUCCAAGCCUGUCAACAUCACUGCAUAUUGGAGAUGACUGUGGUAGGACCCAAGGAAGAGAUGUGUGCCUGAACAGUCGUCACCAUAUCUCCAAGCUUCCUGGCAACCAGUGGGAAAAGAAACAUGCGAGGCUGUAGGAAGAGGGAAGCUUUUCCUUGGCACCUAGAGGAAUUAGCCAUUCUCUUCCUUAUGCAAAGAUUGAGGAAUGCAACAAUAUAAAGAAGAGAAGUCCCCAGAUGGUAGAGAGCAGUCAUAUCUUACCCCUAGAUGUUCAUCCCAGCAGAAGAAAGAAGAAGGUGUUGGGGUAGGAUUCUUCAGAGGUUAGCCUGGUACUUUCUCAUCAGACACUAGCUUGAAGUAAGAGGAGAAUUAUGCUUUUCUUUGGUUUUUCUACAAACCCUUAAAAAUCACUUGUUUUAAAAAGAAAGUAAAAGCCCUUUUCAUUCC